rnacentral:rRNA from 1 species
UACGUAGGGGGCAAGCGUUGUCCGGAAUCAUUGGGCGUAAAGAGCGUGUAGGCGGCCUGAUAAGUCGGUUGUGAAAGUCAAGGGCUCAGCCCUUGAAUGCCGACCGAUACUGUCAGGCUAGAGUCCGGAAGAGGCGAGUGGAAUUCCUGGUGUAGCGGUGAAAUGCGUAGAUAUGUGGAAGAACACCAGUGGCGAAGGCGGUUUUCUAGCUUAUACCUGACGCUGAGGCGCGAAAGCAAGGGGAGCAAACAGG